GACGAACGCUAGCGGCAGGCCUAAUACAUGCAAGUCGAACGGUGUCUUCGGACAUAGUGGCGCACGGGUGCGUAACACGUAUGCAACCUACCUUACAUUGGGGGAUAGCCUUUCGAAAGGGAGAUUAAUACCGCAUAAGACAGUAGCUGGGCAUCCAGCAGCUGUUAAAGAUUUACCGAUGUAAGCUGGGCAUGCGUCCAAUUAGCUAGUUGGUGAGGUAACGGCUCACCAAGGCAAUGAUUGGUAGGGGAACUGAGAGGUCAAUCCCCCACACUGGCACUGAGAUACGGGCCAGACUCCUACGGGAGGCAGCAGUAGGGAAUAUUGGGCAAUGGACGCAAGUCUGACCCAGCCAUGCCGCGUGCAGGAUGAAGGCGUUAUGCGUUGUAAACUGCUUUUAUACAGGAAGAAACGACUCUUGCGAGAGGCAUUGACGGUACUGUAUGAAUAAGCACCGGCUAACUCCGUGCCAGCAGCCGCGGUAACAC
rnacentral:rRNA from 1 species